rnacentral:rRNA from 1 species
CCUACGGGUGGCUGCAGUGAGGAAUAUUGGUCAAUGGGCUUACGCCUGAACCAGCCAAGUCGCGUGAGGGAAGACUGCCCUAUGGGUUGUAAACCUCUUUUGUCAGGGAGCAACGCCGGCUACGUGUAGCCGGACUGAGAGUACCUGAAGAAAAAGCCCCGGCUAACUACGUGCCAGCAGCCGCGGUAAUACGUAGGGGGCAAGCGUUAUCCGGAUUUACUGGGUGUAAAGGGAGCGUAGACGGCUGGCCAAGUCUGAAGUGAAAGCCCGGGGCUUAACCCCGGAACGGCUUUGGAAACUGGCCGGCUGGAGUGCUGGAGAGGCAGGCGGAAUUCCUGGUGUAGCGGUGAAAUGCGUAGAUAUCAGGAGGAACACCGGUGGCGAAGGCGGCCUGCUGGACAGUAACUGACGUUGAGGCUCGAAAGCGUGGGGAGCAAACAGGAUUAGAUACCCGGGUAGUC